UGUCGUGAGAUGUUGGGUUAAGUCCCGCAACGAGCGCAACCCUCGCCCUUAGUUGCCAUCAUUCAGUUGGGCACUCUAAGGGGACUGCCGGUGAUAAGCCGAGAGGAAGGUGGGGAUGACGUCAAGUCCUCAUGGCCCUUACGGGCUGGGCUACACACGUGCUACAAUGGUGGUGACAGUGGGCAGCGAGACCGCGAGGUCGAGCUAAUCUCCAAAAACCAUCUCAGUUCGGAUUGCACUCUGCAACUCGGGUGCAUGAAGUUGGAAUCGCUAGUAAUCGCAGAUCAGCAUGCUGCGGUGAAUACGUUCCCGGGCCUUGUACACACCGCCCGUCACACCAUGGGAGUUGGUUCUACCCGAAGGCGCUGCGCUAACCGCAAGGAGGCAGGCGACCACGGUAGGGUCAGCGACUGGGGUGAAGUCGUAACAAGGUAGCCGUAGGGGAACCUGCGGCUGGAUCACCUCCUUUCUAAG
rnacentral:rRNA from 1 species